CCCACUAAGCUCUCCCCCAUUCUUCUAAUCGGCUCUCCCAACUGCCCGCCAUUCCCUGGGAAGAGAGCGUGGAAAGAAGGGUGUGGAAACGAGGUUGGCAGGGCAAUAAAAAUGUCAGGGCCUUUCCUCUCGGCUCCCUUCCCUCUUGAUCCUCUCCCGCUUUCUCCUUUCGCCCCUCCGCAUCUCCUCCCUUUCCUCCCUCUCUCCCUCCCGCAGACCCCGCUGCAGCCGCUGCCGCUGAAUGCCGAGAAGGCGGCAUUUGGGGUAUGAGGCAGGAGAGGUUAAUUAUUGCUCCCCGCCCCCACGUUCCCCCCCCCCCACAAGAUGUAUCUGACUGUCAGAAGGGGUGACAGAUGAAGACAAAGUACAGCUCCAGCUCUGCACAGUUCCGGCUGCUUCCGCCUGGUCUGUAUCUGUUCCCCAUCAGAGGUCCCCUAGAGCUCUAGCCUUCAGCAGCCCAGAUAAAAGAGAUGGAUGGAGGGAACUCCAGAUCCUCAAGUCCGGGUUGCCUCCCAAGAUGCUGCCCACCAAGGGGAGAAGGCCCCCUGGCCCGGGCCUGACUGCUACAACCAGAAAUAUCCACCAGAUGGCACUCUUUUGCCACUUCCCGUACUCCCAAGUGUUGCCAGAGGUGUCGCCAGAGCUGUCGUCCCUUUCGGCCGAGGUGGAAAACGCGGAGCCGGUGUACCCCAGGCUUUCCCCCUCACUCCCAUACGCAGCAGGACGGUGGGCGUGCCCUUGGUCCCCAAAGACUGCAAUCUCGAGCUUCUCCGAAGUCGGGCUCAUCCCUUCGGGCCUCCAGGCUUCUGUUGGAGGAGCGGACUCCCCUUGGGCGGGGGGGGGCAGUUCUGCUCAGUCCUCAAAUCCACCCUCAUUCACCAGUGAGCCAAAAGUUGGGCUUCACCCGGACUCCAUCGGUUCAGAACAGCGCAGCUCAAGGACCUUUACUAGGAGCCUUCCUAGUAAUAAGCAGAUUCCUCACUACCGCGGACGAGGGAGUCAGGGUCAUUUGUACACACGUGGCGCCUACACACCUGUACACACAGCCCCCCAACCUCGAUGUACUCCCGACAUCCCGCCCUGGACGCCCAGCCAGGGGUCAGCCAAAAGCGGAGAGAAGGGCCAGACCCUGGGACCUAGAACCCUCGGCUAG
rnacentral:lncRNA from 1 species